rnacentral:lncRNA from 1 species
CCGGUUUGAACCUCGGUCUCCAAACCAGCAUGUAAACCCACAACGUCCUCGGUUCCAAGCUCCAAAUCAACAACCUACCGGGCGGUUUGAUCCUCAGUCUCCAAACCAGCCUCCAAGUGCACCAAGGCCUCAGUUCCCAAACCAACAACCUGCAGGGCGGUUUGAUCCUCAGUUUCCAAACCAGCCUCCAGGUCCACCACGGCGUCAGUUCCCAGACCAAGCUCCAAAUCAGCAACCUACAGGGCGGUUUAAUCCUCAGUUUCCAAACCAGUCUCGAAGUCCACCACAGUCUCCGUUCCCAGACCAAGCUC